AUUGAACGCUGGCGGCAGGCCUAACACAUGCAAGUCGAGCGGAUGAAGGGAGCUUGCUCCUGGAUUCAGCGGCGGACGGGUGAGUAAUGCCUAGGAAUCUGCCUGGUAGUGGGGGAUAACGUCCGGAAACGGGCGCUAAUACCGCAUACGUCCUGAGGGAGAAAGUGGGGGAUCUUCGGACCUCACGCUAUCAGAUGAGCCUAGGUCGGAUUAGCUAGUUGGUGGGGUAAAGGCCUACCAAGGCGACGAUCCGUAACUGGUCUGAGAGGAUGAUCAGUCACACUGGAACUGAGACACGGUCCCGACUCCUACGGGAGGAAGCAGUGGGGAAUAUUGGACAAUGGGCGAAAGCCUGAUCCAGCCAUGCCGCGUGUGUGAAGAAGGUCUUCGGAUUGUAAAGCACUUUAAGUUGGGAGGAAGGGCAGUAAGUUAAUACCUUGCUGUUUUGACGUUACCAACAGAAUAAGCACCGGCUAACUUCGUG
rnacentral:rRNA from 1 species